GACGAACGCUGGCGGCGUGCUUAACACAUGCCAGUCGAACGGAAAGGCCCUGCUUUUGUGGGGUGCUCGAGUGGCGAACGGGUGAGUAACACGUGAGUAACCUGCCCUUGACUUUGGGAUAACUUCAGGAAACUGGGGCUAAUACCGGAUAGGAGCUCCUGCUGCAUGGUGGGGGUUGGAAAGUUUCGGCGGUUGGGGAUUGACUCGCGGCUUAUCAGCUGGUUGGUGGGGUAGUGGCUUACCAAGGCUUUGACGGGUAGCCGGCAUGAGAGGGUGACCGGCCACAUUGGGACUGAGAUACGGCGCAGACUCCAACGGGAGGCAGCAGUGGGGAAUAUUGCACAAUGAGCGGAAGCCUGAUGCAGCAACGCCGCGUGCGGGAUGACGGCCUUCGGGUUGUAAACCGCUUUCGCCUGUGACGAAGCGUGAGUGACGGUAAUGGGUAAAGAAGCACCGGCUAACUACGUG
rnacentral:rRNA from 1 species